rnacentral:rRNA from 1 species
CCUACGGGAGGCAGCAGUGGGGAAUUUUGGACAAUGGGCGCAAGCCUGAUCCAGCAAUGCCGCGUGAGUGAAGAAGGCCUUCGGGUUGUAAAGCUCUUUUGUCAGGGAAGAAACGGUGAGGGCUAAUAUCCCUUGCUAAUGACGGUACCUGAAGAAUAAGCACCGGCUAACUACGUGCCAGCAGCCGCGGUAAUACGUAGGGUGCAAGCGUUAAUCGGAAUUACUGGGCGUAAAGCGUGCGCAGGCGGUUUUGUAAGUCUGUCGUGAAAUCCCCGGGCUCAACCUGGGAAUUGCGAUGGAGACUGCAAGGCUAGAAUCUGGCAGAGGGGGGUAGAAUUCCACGUGUAGCAGUGAAAUGCGUAGAGAUGUGGAGGAACACCGAUGGCGAAGGCAGCCCCCUGGGUCAAGAUUGACGCUCAUGCACGAAGACGGUGGGGAGGACGAACAGGAGUAGUAUACCUACGGUAGUCCGACCGACCCGUAACCGACUAGUCUACUAGUUGUUCGGGUUUUAAGUUUAACGUUAGGUUAACGUACGAGCUACGUACGUGAGUAG